UAAGUUAGAAAGGGCGCACGGUGGAUGCCUUGACACUAGGAGUCGAUGAAGGACGGGACUAACGCCGAUAUGCUUCGGGGAGCUGUAAGUAAGCUUUGAUCCGAAGAUUUCCGAAUGGGGAAACCCACCAUACGUAAUGGUAUGGUAUCCUUAUCUGAAUACAUAGGGUAAGGAAGACAGACCCAGGGAACUGAAACAUCUAAGUACCUGGAGGAAGAGAAAGCAAAUGCGAUUUCCUGAGUAGCGGCGAGCGAAACGGAACAUAGCCCAAACCAAGAGGCUUGCCUCUUGGGGUUGUAGGACAUUCUAUACGGAGUUACAAAGGAACGAGGUAGACGAAGCGACCUGGAAAGGUCCGUCGUAGAGGGUAACAACCCCGUAGUCGAAACUUCGUUCUCUCUUGAAUGUAUCCUGAGUACGGCGGAACACGUGAAAUUCCGUCGGAAUCUGGGAGGACCAUCUCCCAAGGCUAAAUACUCCCUAGUGAUCGAUAGUGAACCAGUACCGUGAGGGAAAGGUGAAAAGCACCCCGGAAGGGGAGUGAAAGAGAUCCUGAAACCGUGUGCCUACAAAUAGUCAGAGCCCGUUAACGGGUGAUGGCGUGCCUUUUGUAGAAUGAACCGGCGAGUUACGAUCCCGUGCGAGGUUAAGCUGAAGAGGCGGAGCCGCAGCGAAAGCGAGUCUGAAUAGGGCGUUUAGUACGUGGUCGUAGACCCGAAACCAGGUGAUCUACCCAUGUCCAGGGUGAAGUUCAGGUAACACUGAAUGGAGGCCCGAACCCACGCACGUUGAAAAGUGCGGGGAUGAGGUGUGGGUAGCGGAGAAAUUCCAAUCGAACCUGGAGAUAGCUGGUUCUCCCCGAAAUAGCUUUAGGGCUAGCCUUAAGUGUAAGAGUCUUGGAGGUAGAGCACUGAUUGGACUAGGGGUCCUCAUCGGAUUACCGAAUUCAGUCAAACUCCGAAUGCCAAUGACUUAUCCUUAGGAGUCAGACUGCGAGUGAUAAGAUCCGUAGUCAAAAGGGAAACAGCCCAGACCGCCAGCUAAGGUCCCAAAGUGUGUAUUAAGUGGAAAAGGAUGUGGAGUUGCUUAGACAACUAGGAUGUUGGCUUAGAAGCAGCCACCAUUUAAAGAGUGCGUAAUAGCUCACUAGUCGAGUGACUCUGCGCCGAAAAUGUACCGGGGCUAAAUACACCACCGAAGCUGCGGAUUGAUACCAAUGGUAUCAGUGGUAGGGGAGCGUUCUAAGGACAGUGAAGUCAGACCGGAAGGACUGGUGGAGUACUUAGAAGUGAGAAUGCCGGUAUGAGUAGCGAAAGACGGGUGAGAAUCCCGUCCACCGAAUGCCUAAGGUUUCCUGAGGAAGGCUCGUCCGCUCAGGGUUAGUCAGGACCUAAGCCGAGGCCGACAGGCGUAGGCGAUGGACAACAGGUUGAUAUUCCUGUACCACCUCUUUAUCGUUUGAGCAAUGGAGGGACGCAGAAGGAUAGAAGAAGCGUGCGAUUGGUUGUGCACGUCCAAGCAGUUAGGCUGAUAAGUAGGCAAAUCCGCUUAUCGUGAAGGCUGAGCUGUGAUGGGGAAGCUCCUUAUGGAGCGAAGUCUUUGAUUCCCCGCUGCCAAGAAAAGCUUCUAGCGAGAUAAAAGGUGCCUGUACCGCAAACCGACACAGGUAGGCGAGGAGAGAAUCCUAAGGUGUGCGAGAGAACUCUGGUUAAGGAACUCGGCAAAAUGACCCCGUAACUUCGGGAGAAGGGGUGCUUUCUUAACGGAAAGCCGCAGUGAAUAGGCCCAAGCGACUGUUUAGCAAAAACACAGCUCUCUGCGAAGCCGUAAGGCGAAGUAUAGGGGGUGACACCUGCCCGGUGCUGGAAGGUUAAGGAGAGGGGUUAGCGUAAGCGAAGCUCUGAACUGAAGCCCCAGUAAACGGCGGCCGUAACUAUAACGGUCCUAAGGUAGCGAAAUUCCUUGUCGGGUAAGUUCCGACCCGCACGAAAGGUGUAACGAUUUGGGCACUGUCUCAACCAGAGACUCGGUGAAAUUAUAGUACCUGUGAAGAUGCAGGUUACCCGCGACAGGACGGAAAGACCCCGUGGAGCUUUACUGUAGCCUGAUAUUGAAUUUUGGUACAGUUUGUACAGGAUAGGCGGGAGCCUUUGAAACCGGAGCGCUAGCUUCGGUGGAGGCGCUGGUGGGAUACCGCCCUGACUGUAUUGAAAUUCUAACCUACGGGUCUUAUCGACCCGGGAGACAGUGUCAGGUGGGCAGUUUGACUGGGGCGGUCGCCUCCUAAAGUGUAACGGAGGCGCCCAAAGGUUCCCUCAGAAUGGUUGGAAAUCAUUCGUAGAGUGCAAAGGCAUAAGGGAGCUUGACUGCGAGACCUACAAGUCGAGCAGGGACGAAAGUCGGGCUUAGUGAUCCGGUGGUUCCGCAUGGAAGGGCCAUCGCUCAACGGAUAAAAGCUACCCCGGGGAUAACAGGCUUAUCUCCCCCAAGAGUCCACAUCGACGGGGAGGUUUGGCACCUCGAUGUCGGCUCAUCGCAUCCUGGGGCUGUAGUCGGUCCCAAGGGUUGGGCUGUUCGCCCAUUAAAGCGGUACGCGAGCUGGGUUCAGAACGUCGUGAGACAGUUCGGUCCCUAUCCGUCGUGGGCGUAGGAAAUUUGAGAGGAGCUGUCCUUAGUACGAGAGGACCGGGAUGGACGCACCGCUGGUGUACCAGUUGUUCUGCCAAGGGCAUAGCUGGGUAGCUAUGUGCGGAAGGGAUAAGUGCUGAAAGCAUCUAAGCAUGAAGCCCCCCUCAAGAUGAGAUUUCCCAUAGCGUAAGCUAGUAAGAUCCCUGAAAGAUGAUCAGGUUGAUAGGUUCGAGGUGGAAGCAUGGUGACAUGUGGAGCUGACGAAUACUAAUAGAUCGAGGACUUAACCA
rnacentral:rRNA from 1 species